UCAAUAUGAUUGGUUGUUGAACCUUUAUAAUUGUCAUCUUCACUUUCAAAAUAUUAAAUAAGCACAGUUUGGGAUGUUGUUGAGAUGUUUUACUGAAAGAAAUUCGUAAGGUAUGUGUCGAUAUUACUAUUAUAUACCUUAUAUUUGUUCUCAUCAUUUGUUUAAUUGUUACCGGAAUAAUAUUUUUUUAAAGAAACGAUUGCUUGUGUGCAGUUUAGGCAUUUGCUAUUCAAAUAAUACAUUGGAUGAUAAUAUUUUCUGCAAAUUUUUUAUUUUGCUAGUAUGGAUAUUUCACCUCCGACUUUGUUCCAAAAUGUUUUGGCAGCAAGUCCAAUAAUUUACUCUGUACUGUUCCAUAUUUGUUACUCUCGAGUCCGUUUCUCGAGAGGACUCGAGAGCGUUUCAAUAAGCCUGAGGCUUUCGAUGCAAUCGAGCUAAAAGAAAUAAGUUUAAACUAAACAUAUUUGUUACUAACGUUCGAGUAAUAACUGUCUCUUAAUGUUCUAUUAUGGAAUCAAAUUAUUAGGCACUUUAUAGUCUACCAAAUAAAAUGGAAGUGUUUUUUCAGAUCAGUUAUUUCAAUUGAAAUUACAAAUGUAAACUCGCAUAUUUACAACGAACCAUUUUUCCCUAAAACACCGUUAAUUAAAUCUGGUUAAAUACGGAUUAUUAAAUGAUUAUUAGUCGACUCUGCAGACUUUGCAGGCAAGAGGUUACCUUUAAAUUAAGUUCUUUUUGCACUUACUGGUACAUCAAAUUUGUAAGUGGACACUUUCGCAAAGUCAAAUGUGUAUCUAUCUCUCGGUAAAUGUGCUUGGCCCCUCUGGGGCUUUGUCGCACAAUUGUGAACUAUGUACUAUUAGUUACAGUUAGUAAAUGACGGUGUAUGGGAUAUACGGUAUUUAAUUACUGAGGGUGUAUAUCCCAUACACCUUCAGUUACUAACGGUGUAACGAUUAUAUCUCAACCGACUACUCGGGUUACUCGGGUAGUAUGGAAAUUACUCGGUGUAUCGAAAAUACUCCAUGGGCACGUGACCGCUCUAAGCCAAUCGGAAUAGGUCAUUCUUGUAGGAGGUGAGAUAUACGCUUAUCCUCUCUACUCCAUAAGAACUGCCUGAAAUAUUAAGUAACAUGUUAUUUAAGUUGGAAUAAUUUCUGAUGUCUUUUUUUUCCCGCCAUCAGUUCGUGAUGGAUGCUAACACCAGGAUUUUCGAAUGUUUUGAUACGGUAACCGGACUUGCACUGAGGUAAGUAUACGGUGAACUGCGCAAGGUACUUAGAGAUGGUGUGUUCAUACAGUAAUUUUGAAAAGAACAUGUGGAACAAGAUAGCGUCUGUUGAUGUGACGAUGUAAUCUUUUAAAGAUUACCGGUACUUAACAUUGAUGAUCACAGUUUCUACAUUUGUCGAAUAUUGUUGUAUCGUGGUUAUAAUCGACUUUCAUACGACAUCUUAUGUGGCAUUGUCAUGCAAGGAAUAUAUAUACAUAUACAUAAAAAUAGAACCAAUUCGUGCGCAUGGCUAAUAAAAUGGUUAAACAGAAGUAAAGGUUUUACCUAUUCUAUUUUAUAUUUCGCACUUUUAAAAUUCCUUUCUUUAAGUGUCUGCAAAAAUUCCGGUUUGCACGACUAUAAAAUUAAAUCUUAUUAAAUGACACGCGACUAUUUUCCAUAAGAACUCUCUUAGAUAAGUGAAACAAUUGGUUGGCGGAAACUAACUUUAAAAGAUUCCGGAAAUAUUGAAAUAUACAUCUGCAUUUAAGUAUCGCAUUAAACGGCAAGAAUCGACCGGGCACAUUUAAUUGAUGUGAAAAAAAAUCAUGACAAAUAUUUCUACUUCCAUCUUUGCUAUGAUUCUAGUUAAACCAGGGCACUUGUCAGUUACGAAUGUGUGAACUUGGUUGUAGUAGACCGAAUAAGCAGGAUUGGGGAAGAUACGAAAAGCCUUACCGACUGCCGUCAUUUUGACUACCCUUUUCAAGGACGCAAAUCCAACUAAUAACGCAAAUACCAAUUAAUCUAUGAAAAAAAUAAAUACUUAUUGUAAUAAAUUUACUAUUUUAAUAUUUAACAUAGCAGUGUUCCCGGAUGACGCUACCCUUCCCGAAGCUUCUUUAACGGUGUCCGGAUAACGUCCACUUCCCCUAAGCGACAGCGCUGUUCAAAGAUGACUCGCCCUUUCUUGUGUCAGCAACGAUCCCUCUGCCCGCCCGACCUACGCGCGGAGUAAGACGCCCUUUCGAAGUUACAACGACAAGUCAUUUGAUUACCCCCACCUUGAAAACGAAAGCAACCAUAACUGCGACGAAAGAGUACAUUUUUAUUAUAAAAUGGCAAAACGGAGGUACAAGUUAAAACAUUUUCAUUCUUUUUACUAUUCCGUACUGUAAUACGUAUUUACUGUUUCCAUUUCAUAUUGUGUAACGAAUGUCUCCGGAUCCUGAUCCCUGGCUAAAGAUUAUCCCCCCCGUGAUCCAAAGAGUGUCGGCGAAAACAUUACAGUUUCCAUCGAGAGGGCAGCGUUCCCGGAUGAUGUUACCCUUUCCCGAAGUGACUUGAACGAUGCUGGAUAACGUCCACUUCCCCGAAGCGGCAGUGACGUCCUUACAUGACGACUAGCCCCUUCACGUCGUGCGCAGUGACGACCAACCUUCCUGUCCGACGCCCCUUGAAGUUGCACCCAGUUGUCCUCUGGAUUAUUCCAUCCCCUUUCUCCAAAUGGCACCUACCAUAAGUUUUCGGCGUUCUCCAUUUCCAAGGCGACACUGUUGGUUACUAUGGAGCACCAUUUAUGCAUGGUCUGGUAUGUAGUUACUUACAUAACAUAAUUACUGACAAAUGAAAGUGUACCAUGGGAAACAUGCGUGGUUAAACCGAGGUAUUACUUAAAUCUAUUUAUUCUUUCUUUUAUACUUUGUACUUUAGAAAGUAUUUUUUGUUUUCCAAUUUCAUAUCGUUUGCCGUAUCCUGAGCCCAGAAUAGAUGGUGGCCACCCCGUGUAGUCCAUAACAGUGUCGGAGAAAAUGACAGCUUCCAUCAAGAUGUUGCAACAACGGUGCCCGGAUAACGUCUACUUCCCCGAAGCAUCAGCGGCGCCCAUAGAUGAAUCGCGCUUUUUCCAUAGCGGCAGCGACGUUCUCCAUCCCCGCCCGACCGUCGCGCGAGUGAAGACGCCCCUUCCGAAGCUGCAUAUAUACGCCAAUGGAUUAUUCCACACACAUCCCCUUCCAAAAACGACAAGAGUAUUUUUUUUCAAAUUCACGUAAAAGAUUUUUCUGCGCUGAAAAUCCCUAGCAAGUAACCGAUAGUAAUACAUCUUAUCGCUUUUGGGUUUUAUAUACAGUUUGCAUUGACUCAUCGGACGAUGCGACUUGGUGGUUCAGAUCUUUAAUUAUAAAUCGCGUUAUUUAUUUACAAGGUUGUAGUUCUUGACCAAUAUUUACUUGUAUGUAUUGCGUGUAUCUUGGAAAAUGUCUAAUUAUUAAUGUAUAACAGCAAGGUGCCCGGAUGACGCCUCCAUUUCCCGAAGCUGCAUCAACGGUGCCUGGAUAGCGUCCACUUCCCUAAGCGACAACGAAGUCCUUAAAAUCACACCCUUUUUUACGUCGCCCCCACCGCUCCCGACCCUCGGGAAGACAUGCCUAUCGAAGCUGCAAAUUACAGACGAACCAAAUCAUCACCAUACGGACGACCUGUGGUGACCUCCGAUGCAAUACCAAUCCACGUUUACUUCUUGGACCAUUCUACAGUGCACCAGGAGUGAAGUCCGAUCGAAUCCAUGUAUACUACAUGCAGUUUGUAAAUACAUUCAAAAUGAGCAUUUGGACUUCUUGAACGCAGCAAUCGUAGCUGCGACUAUUACAUGCGACCGCAUUGAACUACAGCACAACACACGCGGCUUUAAGGUUACAUCCUUUUGGAACACAUGUAUUUGAGCACCCUUGGUAAGUAGGUGCAUAUCCAACUUCAAUCCAAGGUAAGUCGAUAUUUCACUUUCAAACCUGUUUUCGUCGGGACGCUCUUCUUUACGGUGGGAUAAAGGUGACAUUCACUCUCUUUUUAAAUUGCACUCCUCUUUUUUUCUAUCUCGUGGCCACGAGUUAGCUUAGUCGGGAUCUCGAGAUGGCUAUGUCGUGGCCACGAGAUAGAAAAAAAGAGGAGUGCAAAACUAAAAAGGAGUGCAAUUGAAAAAACUGCCGCUGCUGCCGCUGCUGGGACGUUUUCAUUGGCCGAUUAAUUUGAAGGAGCAAGAUAGUAUUUGAUUGGCUGACUAAAUAGUGGCCACGAGUUAACUAAGUCGGGAUCUCGAUCUCGAAAUUCUCUCCUCGUUUGUUUAAUGCACCUUCCAUUAUUUACUCUACCGCUCUUUUUUUAACUGCACUUCUCUUUUAUUUAGUUUUGCACUCUUUCUAUCUCGUUGCCACGACAGCUAUCUCGAGAUCCCGACUUGGCUAACUCGUGGCCACGAGAUAGAAAAAAGAUGGAGUGCAAUUUACAAAAAGAGUGAAUGUCACCUCUAUGCCACCGUACUACUUACCUAGGAAUGUUGCUAAAGUAGUGAUAACAGAAUAAAUGUUUUGACAAAAUUAAUUUCGCUUUUAAUACGCUUUUAAUACUUGAUUGUUUCUUUUCUUUUGCCAACGUUUAUUAUUACAAAAAUUCCGAUUCCUCUAAGCAAUUUUUACAUUGAUUAAAAGUGUCAUAUUUACAAUUUGUUAUAAAUUAUUCUUUUCUUGCUGCAUUUUUUUUCUUUUUCAGGGUGUGUUUCCGGUAGUGUGACGCGUCUUUUUGUGUUGAUUGGAAUGUACCCGUUCCCAACACCGCUGACCAGCACUGUCGCUAGGCAACGACUGCCAGGCCACAUUGCUGUCAGUACAUAGCCUCUCCACUACAAGCCCUAUGCAUUGCCGCCACGUGGCAACACACGGUAACUGGAUGCCAAUGGGCUCCAGGCUGAAAUGCAGGGGACUCGGAGGAGGUUUGGCCCCUAGAUGUGGUGCACUGGUCCGCAAUUGUGUGGAAAUAACCGGUCAAUCACAAACCGAACCCCCAGCUAUGGGCAAAUAGCAUUUUAUUUAUAUAAUUGGCGUUAUCAAGUCAUUUAAUCAGUCAUUCCGUCGGUAACAAACUGUUUAUGGCUCAGUAUCUCGCGAGACUAUAACAGAUAUGAACAUGAAACUUCAUGAUGUAGAUAUUGAUGAGAUGUGCCAUGCACAAGAAACAUAACCAUAGACUUUUACAAAAUAAAAAGAGUAAUCAACCGUUGUUUUUGUAUGAUGUAACUUCAUGGCUAUAACUCGGGUAAGCUACAAGAUUCCAACAUUAAACUUUAUGGGACAAUUUCAAUGUAUCAAAUGUAUCAAUGUAGGGGCCACUUUAACGAACACAUCUUUUUUGGAUUAUACCGAUAUCAAGGGAUUUCAUACCACUAUAAACUUAAUUAAUUUGGCUGGGGAUAUCAAACUAAUUUGCUUGUUUUAUGGUGUUACAUUUAAAACAUACAAGUUUUAGUUUUUCUUAAUAUGUAUUUGCUUUUCUAAAACCUUUUUAUUUUAAGAUGUUCAGUCUAAUUUCAGAGCCUUUGCGUGAUUGCCGAACGCUUUCAGGCCCUUUAUCAAUGACAGGAUUUGUCAAGAUUACAAAAACCGUUCAACAGCCGCACUUAAAAUGGUUAUCCAUCCCAAAACUUGGUGACGUCCGCAACUUCAUGGCGUCUACACAGCCCUAACAUGCCCCGCCACCGAUGCUGUCUUGUUUCGCUUUGAUUUAUGAUUGGAAUACAAAAACUCGAAUAAAACAGAUUUGAACUAAA